UGCGAUCAGAGACAGUAAACUUAGGGCAGAGACAACAAGCAAAUGGUGAUCCACGUGCAUGAGAAGAUUUGGACUAAGCUUGUAACCUGCAGGAUCUGAUGCUAUCUCCAGGGAGUCAAAGAUUCUCCCAGGCCACUUGUCCCGUCUACUCUGGCCCACACUCAUCUCUCCACCCCCAGAACUCCUGCCGUCCAACACAGUGAAACCUGGAUGAGAGAUGGUUACUGAAUGCACAGAGGAGGGGAAUGGGCUCUAGCUGCAUGGUGUGUGGUUUCAGUCAGUCUGAGAGCAGGGACCACUUCUGCUCAUGCUCUCCAUUGACUCCUGAACCUAGUGCCAUAAAAGAGGUGAUUAAGCGAUUUCUG